GUUGCACUAUCGUUAACUGAAUACAUAGGUUAACGAGGCGAACCGGGGGAACUGAAACAUCUAAGUACCCCGAGGAAAAGAAAUCAACCGAGAUUCCCCCAGUAGCGGCGAGCGAACGGGGAGCAGCCCAGAGUCUGAAUCAGCUUGUGUGUUAGUGGAACGGUCUGGAAAGUCCGACGGUACAGGGUGAUAGUCCCGUAACACCAAAAUGCACAGGCUGUGAACUCGAAGAGUAGGGCGGGACACGUGGUAUCCUGUCUGAAUAUGGGGGACCAUCCUCCAAGGCUAAAUACUCCUGACUGACCGAUAGUGAACCAGUACCGUGAGGGAAAGGCGAAAAGAACCC
rnacentral:rRNA from 1 species